rnacentral:rRNA from 1 species
GAUGAACGCUGGCGGCGUGCCUAAUACAUGCAAGUCGAGCGAACAGACGCGGAGCUUGCUCCUCUGACGUUUGCGGCGGACGGGUGAGUAACACGUGGAUCCCCUACCUAUCAGUCUGGGAUAACUUCGGGAAACCGGAGCUUAUGGCGGAUAAUCUAUUGAACCGCAUGGUUCAAUAGUGAAAGACGGCUUUGCUGUCACUUAUAGAUGGAUCCGCGCCGCAUUAGCUAGUUGGUAAGGUAACGGCUUACCAAGGCAACGAUGCGUAGCCGACCGGAGAGGGUGAUCGGCCACACUGGAGCUGAGACGCGGUCCAGACUCCUACGGGAGGCAGCAGAAGGGAAUCUUCCGCAGUGGGCGAGAGCCUGACGGAGCAACGCGGCGUGAGUGAUGAAGGUCUUCGGAGCGUAAAACUCUGUUAUUAGGGAAGAACAAAUGUGUAAGUAACUAUGCACGUCUUGACGGUACCUAAUCAGAAAGCCACGGCUAACUACGUG